rnacentral:lncRNA from 1 species
GAAAACUUGAACUUUUGUUUAAUUAAAUUUUAAUUUGGAAAACAUUGAUCUCACAUAAUACUAUCUAGGUACACUCAUAAGCAUUCACAACAACCAUCUAACUCAAGAUAAUCACAUGAAACAUAUAGUCAUGAAUAUAGUGUUGCCAAAAUUGCACCAAUACAACGUCUGAAAGUAAAUACAAAAGAAACGCUAGUUGAACAUACUCCACUAGCUCAUGCCUAGUCUAUUGCAUCCGGGUAACUUCUGCGUCGAUUUGUAAGAUCUAACGUCCAGCUGCACCUGCACCUAAAAGUAGAUAAAUGUAUGGAAUUAGUACAGAGUUGUACUAGGUAUGUGUAUAUGCAAGCACACACCACGGACAUGAAUGAUUUAGAAUAUCUCUCUCCUAAAAAUAUGAGUUAUAGAAAGUCAAGUAAAUGGACUUGCCAAAAUCGGACUAGGAAAGUCAUGCCAUGAGAGUAACAUGCAUAACCAUGCGUAUCAUAUUUUACACAACACAUAAUAUAUAGCAUAUAGAACUUAACAUAUUGCAUAUAGCACAUAUCAUAUUUCAAUUAAUUAGUUCAUAUGUCAUGAGACCUUGGAAUUAUGGACUUAAUAUUCAGACUUCCCAAAAUGAGGGCUCAACAAAUGGGACCUCAACUAGGGAGCCUUCUCUAGCAAACACUGAGUCCCUUUCAUUCAUUCAUAUAUUCGUAGGCUGGUGUGAACACCAGCUAUACCUGGGAUGGUUUUUAAUACUCUCUUCGGGUUCACUGUGCAUUGAACAAGAAUGGCGUAGUGUCAUUACAUGAGUCUAGUUCACCUCUUGAUUAUCCUAUAUAAAAUCCUUUGGUAUCAUUCAUUUCAUUUCUUUCAUACUUUGAGGAAGUUCAAUUUUAACCGACAUAGAUCAUGUGAGAAUCAUAAAAUUUGAUGUCUUCCUUACACCCAAAGGAGGUGGAGUCAAUGGCCAAGGUGAAACAAAGAACAUACGUAGCUUGCUUAGGUGGAAACUACUGGCUAGUUCCUAUGUUGUAAGCAUAGUUCAAAGACUAGGAGAUUUAGGGAGACCCAUACCCGUCUGAACGGACAGUCUCAUCUCAUGAGAAUUAUACGAACCUCUGCCUUCCCGAAAGAAGGAAUUGCAACUCAUAUCUAACCUAUCGGUGCUCAGUAUGAAGUUCUAUUACAUUCAUCUCAUACAUCAUAAAAGUUGGCUUCUAGAAUGAGGGUAUCAUAGCUCAUUAGAUGAUUUUUCAUCUCACCAUUUCGUAUAAAGUUUGAACUGUUCUUACACUUACAUGUAGAGUGUGAUUGACACUUGUAUCUUAAUAUUCAAUACUCCCUUAGGUGAGUACUUUUGGUGACCUUAUAUAGGCGUAGGUAGAGAUUGUCUCACAUGCACUAGCCACAUAUUAUGGUGUCACCCUGUUCUUUAUUAACAUAUUAUUGUUUCAUCUUAACUCACCUUUCAUUAUUUGUUCAUCGUAUAACAUAGAUAUGCUUUCUUGGAGUUUACAUUGAGGGACAUCAAUUCUAGGCGUACUUACCGCUUUUCUCACUUUGACUAGCCAAUGCUCAUCUAGCCACUCUGUUUUGCUUAUUAAUCUUUUAGUAUAAAUAUACUCCCGUAGAAAUUUCAUUUAGUGAACUGAUUUUUAGGGGUAGAUCCAGAUUGUCUUAAACAUUUCGGCCUGGGGAACCCAAGAUCAAAUACCCAGGCCCACAUCCUUUUCUUUUUCUCUCAUUACUUGAUUCCUUCGUUUAAACUAAGAGGGUGUGGGAUCGAACCCCCAAAGCCCCAUUUUAGUUUUAUCCUUAAUUCUCUUCAUUCAGCCUAGAGGUUGUGGGUUCGAUACCCACAUACCUCAUUUCAUUAUUUUUUUAUUUCAUUUUUCUCCUCUCUCCUUCACCCAUCCAAGAGGUUGUGGGUUCGAACUCCACACGCCUCACUUCUUUUUCUUUCAUUUUUCUCCUAACUUUUCACUUGAGAUUUCCCCCUUCUGAAUCCCCCUCACCUCUUUUUAUUAUUUCAUUUUUUAUUACUUGUAUAUGGUGAGGUUUUGGGUUCAAUCCCCACUUACCUCAUGCAUUUUUUAAAAAUAAUAAAACAAAAAUUUUUAACACUAAGCUGCCGAAACAAAUUUCCAGAAUGCUUGAAAUUUGUUUACCUUUUCGCAAUCAAUUUUCUCAACAUUUAUAUUUUACAUUUAGAACAAUUUUCAUGUAGAAUCUAGUACAUCUUUAGGUGAGUUUUCAUGGUUAAUUUUGGUAAUUUGAUCACCUUUUUGCAGUUCAUUUUCUCACCCUCUUUCACGUUAAACGUCAAGACAUUUCGAGUAGUUUUUAGGGAGAUCUUUAGUUGCAUUUUCAAGGUUAUUUUCAGUCAAGAAUUAUCAUUCAAUUCAGCAACUUUGACCUCAUAUGAACGUCACAUUUUUAACAUAUUCAUACACAUAAAAUACAACAAUUUAACAUGUCAAAUUUUAUGCUUCAAGUCAAGACGAAAAGCUCAGUACACACGUGCAAGCACAAGUUAGCAUAUCACACAUUUUCGGAAUUACUUCUUUCAUUUCUACAUAAUUCUGCACACAUUCAAUCACAUAAUAACAACCAGCCCUAAAAAAAACUACCAAAAGUCAUACACACACAUACUUAAAUCUUUCAAAAGAUCUAAUGACAGGGGCAUGCAACGGGGACAACCUUAGUUUUUGAUUGUGAGUAGUCUUAACCUUAGGGGUUUCAUGGGAAAGGGACCAAGAGGGAAUAGAACCCAUACCUGAAGUCGAUCAACGAUGUUCUUAUGUGCUGCAAAAAUCCCCACUUAACGAACGUCUCACCACCAAAAUCAGAAGCACAAUCCGCCGUGAAAUUAAUUUUCACAUUUUGUUUAUAAACUUAUUUUACUUUUGAUUUUGAGGGUAUCAAGUUCUUAAAUGUAGAUGAACUUUGUCAUAUUUUUGUUCUGU